rnacentral:lncRNA from 12 species
UGUGUGCUUUUAUUUAUUUUUCCCCUUCUCUUUUGUGUUUAUAGUGACUCUUGAAAAUCCAGGCUUGGAACCGCUGUUCUAAUGGUUGACUGAACCAAGACAGCUAAGCGAAUAAGAGCUCUCCCAGCUUUGGGUCUGCCAGCUGAAAUGUGAAGGUGACAUGGAGCAGAGGGGUGAUGAACAGCCCAACAAACCAGGGGUGAAGGCAGCAUCUUUCCCAGCACGGCCCUUCCCAUAAUAGGCUUCUGGGAGGAAGAUAAAGGCGCUUCCAGAGUGAAACAACGAAUAUUAACUCAAGAAAUGUGCAUUGUUUUUAAUUUCCUGUGGAAAAGCUUCAGACAUCUAACCUCAAGACAGAAGGAAAUGCAUCAUGUGUUAAUCAGACAGAACAAGGAAUAGGAAAACAGGAGCUGGGAUGCAAACAUUUCACAAAUCUCAGUGAUGUGGAGAACCUGCUGAGUUCAGCCUGUAGUAACUUUGUGGAUGAGGAUGAGCCCUGCCCACCUUUGCUCCUCACAGCAGUGCUUCAGCCAAGCAGUUGGAGUCCUGACAAUCCAGUGGUCCCAGCCAGAGUGUUUUUAGCUUGACUCAAUGAGAUUCUUUUCCCAGAGCCACACGAGGCCAGCACAGCAGCUUAUCAGCUUUUUGGGAGCACAGUUCAG